UACAGAGGUCUCAAGCGUUGUUCGGAUUCAUUGGGCGUAAAGGGUGCGUAGGCGGCGCGGUAAGUCGGGUGUGAAAUCUUGGAGCUUAACUCCGAAACUGCAUUCGAUACUGCCGUGCUUGAGGACUGGAGAGGAGACUGGAAUUUACGGUGUAGCGGUGAAAUGCGUAGAUAUCGUAAGGAAGACCAGAGGCGAAGGCGGGUCUCUGGACAGUUCCUGACGCUGAGGCACGAAGGCCAGGGGAGCAAACGGG
rnacentral:rRNA from 1 species